AUGAACGCUGGCGGCGUGUCUAAGGCAUGCAAGUCGAACGAAUAUUGUAGCAAUACAACAUUAGUGGCAAACGGGAGCGUAACACAUUGGUAACCUACCUUCGAGACGGGCAUAACACUGCGAAAGCGGUGCUAAUUCCCGAUGGUCUUUUCGGUGAAAUUCCGAAAAAGUAAAAUCGCAAGAUACUCGAAGAGGGGCCUAUGGUCUAUCAGCUAGUUGGUGAGGUAAUGGCUCACCAAGGCUUUGACAGAUAGCGGUUCUGAGAGGAUGAUCCGCCACACUGGUACUGAGACACGGACCAGACUCCUACGGGAGGCAGCAGUGAGGAAUAUUGCACAAUGGGGGGAACCCUGAUGCAGCAACGCCGCGUGGAGGAUGACGCAUUUCGGUGUGUAAACUCCUUUUAUAUGUCAAGAAAAUGACGGUAGCAUAUGAAUAAGCACCGGCUAACUCCGU
rnacentral:rRNA from 1 species